rnacentral:lncRNA from 1 species
GAUCUGAUAAGUGUUAUUUUGUUGGAUAUCCAAAAGAAACUAAGAGAUAUUACUUUUAACUUACUGAAGAACAAAAGAUGUUUGUCAGCAAUAAGGCAUGCUUUUAGAAAAGAAGUUUCUUAGUGAAGGAACUGAUGCCACUAAGAUUGAACUUGAUAAAGUUUGAUUGGUAGAAGAGUCGAUAUAAACAAUUGUAUCUAUAGAAUUGAAUUUGAUUAGAUCAAAUUCAGAGCCCAUUAUAGAGGCACUCUUAAGGAGAUCCAAUAGAGUACCAUGUUAAUCGGACAGAUACUAUAAUUUUUUGAUCUGAGACGAUGAUCUUGUUGAACUCAAUGAGAACAAUGAGGAUCCGAUCACCUAUAUGGAUGCCAUAUGAAGGAGGAAAACCACUUUUCCUCAUAGGAUCUUCCAGAUUUUACCAAAUCUGGGGUGGAAUAAAUUUAAAAAUUUCUUAUCCUAUAUGUAUUUCAGAUCUAAAUCUCUAGAUCUAAUCUUAUUAUCUAAUAUUUCAAAUCUAAAAUUAAAUCUAAAAC